CAGAGUUGCAAAACUCCCUUCAUACCAUCGCUGAACGCUAGCCCUAAUCUCGUUGCUUCGGCGGGGCCCGGGGUCUCCCCGGGCCCUGGCCCAAUCGGGAGCCCCGCCGGAGGACUCAGCCAUAUACUCUUGAUAAUUUCUGGCCUCUCUGAGUACUAUGUAUGCGAAUAAGUCA
rnacentral:misc_RNA from 1 species